rnacentral:lncRNA from 1 species
UAGCUGGGCAUGGUGGUGCGUGCCUGUACUCCCAGCUACUCGGGAGGCUGAGGCAGAAGAAUGGCUUAAACCUGGGAGGCGGAGGUUGCAGUGAGCUGAGAUCGCACCACUGCACUCCAGUCUGGGUGACAGAGCGAGACUCUGUCUCAAAAAAAAACAGGCACCUUGAUUUUAGCCCAUUGAGAUCUGUGUUGGACUUCUCACAAAAUUAAAUAAUAAAUUUGUCUUGCUUUAAGCCCCUAAAUUUGUUAAGCAGCCAUAGGAAAUGAAUACAUUGUAUGUAUUUACACUCCCAUCAAUGUGUUUUCCCAUACCCUUCCCACUAGUGCUGUCUCUUUAAUAGUUUCUUCUUGCUUAGCCAGAGGAGGAUAAACAGACAAAGAAAGAAUAGCCAGAAAGUUGGAGGGAAUUAAAUGAGAAUUGUUACAGAAACUACAAGGCUUGGGGUCGUGCAGCUACUAAACGUGUACUAUUUAAAUUAUAACAGACCUAUGAUCUCAUUCUACUUUCAGAAUGAAAACGGUAAACAUUCUGACAUGGUAAUUGGGGAUAGCAGGAGCUGAUGGAAAGAAGAUCGGGAUUGUUAGCAUUUCUCUAUCCGUCUAGCACGCCAGACA